rnacentral:lncRNA from 1 species
GCAAAUCUCAUCCAUGACACAAAUCAAAAAGACACUUGCUUAGGAGAUUCCUCAAAUAGUUGAAUAAAUAAAUACAUCUUAUUGUUUGUACUGGCACACUUACUGAGCAAGCUUUGGAACUUGGAAGAAUAUUAAAACAAUUUCUAUCAGGAAAUUCGAGUGAACAUAGCACACAGACUCUUUUAAGUACAGUCAUAGCUCAUUAAGAACAUUCUGCCUGCAGCACCUCUCUCCAAGUGUAUUUACAUAUGCAAGACUAAAAUAAUUAUAUUUUAAGACAUUUUCCAUGUUUAAAUAACAUUACUUUUUGAAACUUUAACCUUCAUUGAUCUUUAGCCAAAGAAUUCACAAAGUACUACACAUUUACUAAUCUGUAGCUAAUAUAAACCUGAGACUUGGAACAUUUUUAUGAAGUUUUGGAUUGAUUCCUUUAAUCAUCAGAUAAUUUUGUCUAUAAUUGUUUUGCCCAUCGUUUUUGUCAAAACUUAUUUAAAACUUUGUUUUAAAAUACUGUUUUGUAGAAACAAGAAUAAUUUUCUCUCAUUAAAAUAUGCUGCCUUUUUGCUUUAAGAAAACUUAAAAAUGAUAAGUGACAAAUGAUGUAGUCUCUAAUUUAUGCUUUUUGAGUGAUACGAAGUAACUAUUCCCAAAUUUAUGAAAUUAUUGUGAUAAGCAAAAACAUGUAAAUAUUCUAAAUGAUUCCUUACUCUAUGUUAAAAUAAAAUAGCGCAGCAUCUAUCUCUAUUGUGUUCUAUCUGGUAACUCACAGGAGAAACUCACCUUGAUACAUACACAUAUGCAUUUUUUUCAGUCUCCCAAUUUUUGGCAUUUUCUGCAUUAGAGAUAAUUGAAGAUGAAAAGGAGAAAUGCUUUAAGUUCUUGAUGAGAAAGCUAUUUGUACUGAUUUUUAAACAGUGAAAUGCGAUGUAAACAUGUUUAAAAGAUAAGUGAGAAACUGAGACUAAUAUAAAGCU